CCAUGGAUCCUGUGGACUGAAGCGAUGUGAGGCAUGCUGUUUUCAUAGGCUUCUCUGCUUUCUGGGGAGGCCUUUGUCAGGGGCAAGGCUGCGCGAGAGCCCCACCAGGGCUCCCUCCCGGCCUGCGGCGUUCCCAGGAAGUACCUGCCUGCCUCACAUCGGCCUCCUUCACAGGCCUGGGUAUGGAAAUGCCUCUCUUCCACCAGCCUCGAGUGGUCAAGCGCAAAGCCAUAGCAGAGAGAGCUGCGGUCCGAAAACUGUCUGUAGGCGCACGAUGCGUCGUGCUGGGAGCCAGGCCUAUCGGCGGGGUCCAGAAGCUGCGGAGAGGCCGUGUCGGUCAAGGGACUUCCGCCCCACUGGCUGUCAUGAUCAGAUUCCGAUCUUUCUGUGUGAAAUCCCGAAUACUGAAACCGAGUAGGGGAGAAAAGUCCAUUUCAAAAAUCAAUCGAUCAGUAAGAGAAAACAAACAAACAAAAAACAGCCUUUAUUUACUCUACAAGCACCCUUAAGGUCUCAUUGUCCUGAGGUCGUCAAAAUAACCGUUGCUUUGGCAUCAUGGCUGUGCACACCUAACUUGGAAUUACUUAAUUCAUUAUGAUGCUUCCAAAGAAAAUCCUUUUGGUUGAUGAAAGCAGGAGAUAAAGAUAAUAAUGGCAACCAUCGACUGAAGUACUAGGCACUGAAUGAAGUGCCUCAUAUGAACUAUCCACUUAGCUCCUGCAGUAAACCCUUAAUGGCGCUAUUAGUAUCCCCAGUUUAGGGAUAGAGAAGCUAACGCUCAGAGAGAGAAAGUGAUUUGCCCAAAGCCACAGUGUUAGCAGGUGACACAACCAAGAUUCAGACCCAGGUUCUUCGUCUACCCUAACAGUAUUGCCAAAGAGAGAUUCCAAAGUUACCGCCUGGCCACUGGGUAAACCUCCGCAGCAGAGAGACCUACUUUAUGUUUCAUUUUCAAGCUCCUAUGGAGCCCAGCAGAGAGAGCUGACAAGGAGGAAUACUGCGAGGGGCUCACAGACUAAGACAAUCUGCUGGGAAAUUAGGAGUUUGAAACAUCCAACUAAGAAGCCUAAGGUUUAGACUGCAUCAUAUUCUAAUAACAACAGGAUUAUAAUAUCAAAUGAGACUCUCUGACCCUGCAAAUCUGGAACCAGCUGUAUAGGGACUUUGAACCUCCCUUUUCUCCAAUCUGCUGGUGUUUGUCAUCCUAAUAUAUACCUCAUAUUUUCUUUCUGAAAAUAAUUUUUAAAAUAUACCCAUCAUACAUACGGCAGCACAGUGUAUUCGUUUCAAUAAGAUUUACAUUCAGAAUAUUGAUAUCCAAAAAAAAAAAUUUUAAAUGGUGUUGUAUGUCUAGAUGCUAAAAAGAAAAAAAAACAUAUUUAUUACUAAAGCUGGGUGAACUUGUUAAUUAUAUAUCAGUACCAAUUUGGGAAAGGCAAGAGACUGUGCCUCCCUGGCACGAAGAAGGUGCUCCAUAAAUGCUGACGUUUCUCCCUCUGCAUGGAAAUCUCUGCUUCCUUUAGAGUAUCAAUGACAACAGUGAAAAAUAGAGUGAGCCUGACCAAACUGCAGAAAUCACCACAUACAAAGAGCACAAAGCUUGGAGGUUUGUGUGUUGUGGGACUGGGGAAUGGAGAGAAAAUAAACACCUAAAUGUGUGGGUUUGAGGAUAUAGAGAAAAUAGUUUCCAGUCCUGAUGAAACAUGCUCAGUUCUGGAUCCCCGUCUCUCACCUUGUACAAAAAUCAACUCAAGAAGGAUCAAAGACUUAAAUCUAAGACAUGAAAUUAUAAAUUCUAGAAGAUAACAUUGGAAAAACUCCUCUGAACAUGGAUUUAGGCAAAGAAUUCAUGGCUAUGACCCCAAAAGCAAAUGCAACAAAAAUGAAAAUAAAUAAAUGGGACCUGAUUAAAAAAAAGCUUCUGCGUUGCAAAAGAAACAAUCAGCAGAAUAAACACACAACACACAGAUUGGAAGAAAAUAUUUGCAAACUGUGCAUCUGACAAAGAACGAGUAUUCAAAAUUUUCAAGGAUCUCCAACAAAUCAACAAGAAAAUACAAAUAAUACCAUCAAAAAGUAGGCAAAGGACAUAAAUAGACAUUUCUCAAAAGAAGAUAUACAAACAGCCAACAAACGUAUGAAGAAAUGCUCAACAUUACUAAUCAUCAGGGGAAUGCAAACUAAAACCCCAGUGAGGUACCACCUUACACCUGCAAGGAUGGCCAUAAUUUAAAAAUCAAAAAGCAAUAGAUAUUGGUGUAAGUGUGGUAAAAAGGGAACACUUUCACACUACUGAUAGAAGUGUAAAUUAGUACAAUCACUAUAGAAAACAGUAUGGGCAUUCCUUAAGGAACUAACAGUAGAACUACCAUUUGAUCCAGCAAUCCCACUACUGGGUAUCUACCCAAAGGAAAAUAAGUCAUUAUAUGAAAAAGACACAUGCACAUGCAUGUUUAUAGCAGCCCAAUUUGCAAUUGCAAAGAUAUGGACCAAUCUAAGUGCCCAUCAACCAAUGAGUGGAUAAAGAAAAUGUGGUAUAUAUAUACUGUGGAAUAUCACUCAGUCAUAAAGAGGAACAAAAUAAUGUCUUUUGCAGCAACUUGGUUGGAACUGGAGGCCACUGUUCUAAGUGAAGUAACUCAGGAAUGGAAAACCAAAUAUCAUAUGUUCUCAGUUAUAGGUAAGAGCUAAGCUAUGAAGACCCAAAGGCAUAAGAAUGGUAUAAUGGACUUUGGGGCUUCCAGGGGAAAGGUUGUGUGGGGUGAGGAAUAAGACUGCAUAUUGGCUACAGUGUACCCUGCUUGGGUGAUAGGUGCACUAAAAUUUCAUAAAUCACCACUAAGGAAUUUAUCCAUGUAACCAAAAACCGUCUGUACCCCCAAAACUAUUGAAAUUUAAAAAAAAGAAACAUGCUCAGUUUCAAGAAUGAAGUUCAAGGUGAAGAAUGUAAAGAAAGAGAGAAAACCUAGCUUAAACAAGAGCAGUGAGACCAUCACUGUUUGAACCUAAUUUGAAGAGUGAUACUAACAGUGUUACAAGGAGUGCUUACUGGGAAAAGAACAACAUGACAAAUGUAUAUAGGUCAUUGACCCAUCUCAAAACACUCUACUUCUGCUUCCAACCCUUAAAAUUCCAUCCUUUCCCUGAUAGCUCUACUGUCACUUUGAGCUCCUUUGUAUUCUGUGUCCUUAGCAAAUGGUGCAAGUAUACUAUAACAUUGCAAACUGAGCUAAUCUGAACUUCUCAAAGAUUUCGAUGGAACUCUUCUAUUUCACCAACUAAAUUGUCAACUGCUUGAUAAAUGCUAAGAUUCCUACUUCAUGUAAUCAUGCAAUUAAUCAUUGCAAUCUGCUAUACUCUGUGAAACACUGGUAUACAGCCACACUCAGUCCAUGUAGAACAAUGAGGAAUAUACAAAAGGCUCCACUGAACACCAUCAGAAAUGUCAAUGUUUGGUGUUUUAUGCACAUUAAAUUAUAACUAUUGGUAAAGUUGACAAAACACUGAUUCCAACUAAAUUACCCUAGAUAUUUGGUUAGUUUCUUAUGAUCUCUUUUUCCCCAAGAAACUAACCUAUGUAAAACACCUUCCACACUCUCUAGCACAAAGAAAGUGCUCAAUAAAUGCUGUGUUUUCUCCCUCUACAUAGAAAUCUCUACUCCCCUUAGAGCAUCAAGACUACAGUGAAAAACAGGGUGAGCCUAACCAAACUGCAGAAAUCACCACACACAAAGAGCACAAAACUUGGAGGUUUGUGUGUUAAGGGAUAGGGGAGGGAAGAGAAAAUAAACACCUAAAUUUAUGGAUUUGAGGAUACAGAAAGUCAAGUUAAGGAGAAAACAAUGAAUUCUCUUUCAAAGUAUUUUAGUUGACAUUACAUAAUUGGCAAGAGCUAAUAAAAACAGCUAAGAAAUACUAGGCACCUGCUUUCUGUCAGAUACUGUGCUAUAUUCUCUCUCUAUAUUAUAUCAUUUAAUCCUCCAUAAAUCCCCAAAAGGUGGGUACGAAUGUCCCCAUUUCACAUAUGGGGCAACAGAGGGUCAAAGGGGUAGAGUGAUCUGCUCAAGGCCUCACAGCUAUUAUGUAGCAUAGUCUUCAUUCUAACCCAGGCCCAUCUGGCACUAAAGCCCAUGCCUUUGUUUCACAGAUUGCUUGGAAAAUGAUACUGUGGGUCUUUAUAAAAACAAAAUCACAAUCCUACUGCAAUACCACUUUCUGGAGAUGGCCCAGGCUCAGCCAGACCCCAAACAUUGUCAAUGCCCCACAAAGUAACUUCUCCUUUCAGUUCCAUGAUCACCAAGGAGGAGCCCUCUUCCCGGCCAGCUCCCUGUCCUUGCAAUGCCAAGGCGAGGAGAAAGGGAGAUGGAGUCAGGGAGUUUACUCCCUCAGGCAAGCCAGAAUGCUAAAUUCCUCUAUUGACAGGUACUCAGGAAUUCCAAAUUUCGUCUAAACUCCAACCAAUCCUUUUUUGCAUGAAGGCUUAAUUAUAGACACUAGCAUUUCAGCUCCAGUGAAUUUUCUAUGAUCACCUGCUCAUCUGGAAAGACAUCAUAAGCCAAGAACAGAGAAGGAAGUAUUGGUUAAGGUGAGAGCAGUGGCAGCCUUUUACUAAAUUAUGAAGAUAUGUAUAAUCCAUCCCACCCCCCACCACACACACAUCUUGUAUCAAACAUAACAGUGUUUCCCAUGUGAGUAGACUAAGUCAGGAGACAAAAACAUGUUUUUCUGGAGUUCAAGUAAAGCCUCCCUUGAAUUUCUCCAUCCAUUCACAAUAACAUAUAUGGGUGCCUGCCUUCAUAUGAGGCAGUGAUCCGUAUUUUUCUACAAUGUGAGUCAAAGAUCAAAACCCUUUUUUCCCAACAGCCAGACUAAGAGAAAGCCAGAGGAAAGUAGACAGGCUGGUCAUUCAAUACACACCAAGUGGCCUCUACCCAGGAACUAAAGGGAAACUCCUAUGAAUCAGUGUCCUUCAGGUCAGAGCAACAACAGAGGAAGGAGUGGAGGCCAGAGAGGCCUGGGGAGGGAGAAGUAGUUGGAUAGUGGCAGUGCCAAGGGGCCAGAGGAUGGCACAGCAGACCCAAGAAUACUAGGAAGUUCUCUAUCCCAGGCCUCUGAAUAGAACCCCCAGGGGGCCUCCCCUGCUGCCAUAUAUCCCCUCCAUUCUCUCUCAAAGGCAGAAAAGGGUCAAUUCCUUCCUCUCAUCCCAUCCCCAUGGGGAUGUACACACACACACACCAUGUAAGAAAUACACCCCUGCCACAGCAGGCAAUUUGCAUCACAUCUGACUUGGUUUGCAAAUCUACUGACAUUUCGGUUAACUCUUUUGUUUAGCAAAAACAUAAAAUGUUAAAUCUGGUUGCAGAAAUAGAAUAAUUAGUAAUAGCAAUAAUGUACUUCUAUAAUCUAGGACCAAGCAAUUCAGUAAACAACUAAAAUGUUUGCAGGCUACAUUUUCUUCUUACAAAAUGAAAAUGUCCUUAGUGAAACUUAUGGGGAAAAAAUGAGACAUUCUUAAUUGAAUGUCAUUGAGAAGAUAGAACAGCUAAAUUUUAGCUAGGAAAAUGUCAAUAUCUGCGCACCCUUGUGAAGCAACCACAAAGAGGCAGCUUCUUAAUCUUCCAUCAUUAAUUCAGAUCAAAGCCUAUCUUGAAGUUUUGUGGGCUGAACACUACAGGCCUCACUCAUUCAAAUCCAUCCCUGUCUCUCAGACAUCUUUCCCACAACCACCUUCCACUUCCACCCCUAUACACAGAGAACAGCAGGAUGCAGUAGGAGUGACACACCAGCUUUUAAUUCUGGCUUCACUACUUACUCAGCAUAUCUGAGCCUCAGUUUCCACACCUAAAAAUACAAAAAGCAAUCUCCGACCCAACCACUGUGCAGAGCCAUCAAAGAAGCAAGUCAGGUAACCAAUGUGACAGCACUUUGAAACAGAUACGAAUUCAGCAUUUGUUUAAAAAAAUACAAAGUCUGUAAGUUCAUGAAAGAUGAAUUCAAAACCAAAUACAGAUCCUUUUGAUAAAAUACAAUAAUAAGGAAAAAGUGUAUGAAGAAUAAGAUUAUUUAAGUGAGUAUUUAACUGGUAUUAUGUAUUUCAAAAGAGACUAAAUCUCCCAGCUCUUCCUUUUAACUAAGUGUUUUGGUAGUUAUAAAAUUAGUAUUAAUACAAAUAUAUCUUCAAUUUGUUUUUAUAAUCAUUAAGUUACAUGAAAGAUCAUCUGAAAAGAACAACUGUGACUCUGAUGUUCAAUAUUAUCUUAGUAAAGAUUAAACACAAUUAAGGAUCAAAUCUAAUUUACGGGUAUACAUUAGUGCAUGAUUAUUAUUUUGGAAGAUCAAAAGAUUAAGUCUAUACAAAUGCUCCAGAGAGUAAAUUAUCUUAUAUUUUCUGAAGCUUGCUAAGUGAAAAGGUGUUUCAUUUUAUAUUGUUUGUAUUUAUAUUUUUGUAAUACAAAAGUGAUUUUGCUAACCAGGAAAAUAAAUUGUACUCCAUAACUAUAUAUGUUAUUGGUCAAGUUUUUUUAAAGCAUUCUCUAAAAACUCCUAGUAAUAAUAAUAAUAUAUCACUGGUCUUUAAAUAAGUAAUUUUUAAAAAUUUGAAAACCCAAAUUAACCCAGCACAAAUAAUGUACCUAAAAGAGGAAAGCAAUAUGAACAUAUUUUAAUGUUUGCUGCUUUAUGGCAAGGAUAUGUCGGGUUUUAUAUUGACAGAAUAUGUUAACAUUUAAAAUCCUUUUUAAUUCUAAGAACUACAGUGGUUCUCAUAAUGGUAAGUUGUUGUGGUUAACAUACCAUAUGCAAACAACAACAAAAAGUAUAGGAUCUGCAGUAAUUACAAUAUAGAGCCCCCUUUUUUUUUCAUUGACAUGAAGGAAGUACUGUAUGUCACCUUUGGUAUUUAGCCUAACUUUUCUAUGAAUUCAAAAGGGGUAUUUAGUAGACAGCAAAUGUUACAUACACUACCAAUAUAAAUUGUCUCUAUUUGUUCUGCUUUUAGUAACACAGAAAUAGAAGUUUUAACAUAGAAAACUACUUCCUCAUAUAUGUUCAGUGAAUCACUCUAAAAUACCAUGUGAGAUUUUCUAGGAAAGCAAUGUUCCAUCCUAAACUUAGAAAAUAAAUAAGCAGAGAAGCUGUCUUUGCUAAGAAAAAGAAGUUGAGAUGUUAAAUCUGUCUGAUUCCAAAAUUUCCAAAUUACUCACUAAAUCUAUUCUCUCUCUUUUACUUUCCAGACAUAAUAUCAGAAUUGUAUUAGCUUGCAAGUCUUAUUAGAAAGCUAGUUUAAAAUACAGUAUCAUUUAGAACUUUCUAUCCUACGAAAGUCUCCUCACAAAAUAUCAUCUAUCCAUCAGCCUAAUUGAGAUCAUACACCAAUGAGUACUUGACGAACAUUAGUGGCAGAUUGUUUUUAACGGCACCAGUAAACUAGCUCUCAACUAUAUUUUUGCAAGCUCUACACACAAUAAUUUUUAACAUUUUAAAUGUGUCAUCAUAAAUGAUACAGUGGCUACGCAGGAAAAUGCUAUUCAAGGAUGAAGCACCAUGAUAUCUGUGGCUUACUUUGAAGUGAUUUAGCAGGAAAAAAAAUACACAUUAAAAAUAGGCACACAUAUAGGUAGAGAGAGAUAUAAAGCAUAUUUUUAUAGGAAAAUAUUAACAGUUGUUGGAUGUAGAUGAUGUGAAUAUGGAUAUUCAUUUACUUCUCUUUUAACUUUUAUAUUUGCAAAGUUUAUGUUUUAAAAUAUUUUUAAAUAGGAAUUUUAUACUCUAGUGGGUUAUCUUUAAAAGUGGCAGAAUAUUUCUUAUUUUAAAAAUACAUGUAGUCUGAAAACAUAAAUAGAACCAAGACUCUUAAUUUUCUUAGAAAUUGUUUUUCAUAGUUUAUUAGGUGUUCUACAUUUUCUUUACAUUAAAAACUAAAGCUUUCCAUCUGAACUGGCUAUGAAUAAUUAAUAAUACUAAUUAAACUCAAGAAAAUAUGAAUUCAAGAAAACUCACGUAGGUCUUUACACAGUAUACUCCAUAUAUUCUGGACUUUCCCCGACAUCCUUGUUACUAGACACUAGUUCCAUUCACCUACCCUCUUGAAAAUAACCAGAGAUCAAGGCCUGUCAUACUUAACACUUAUUUCAAAGCCUGAGGAUACUCAUAACUUAUAAGAAAAAUCUUUUUUAAAUGUGUAAAGCUAACAGGGUAUGUGUGUCUUGCAGAAAAUUAUGAACUGAUCAGUGUUUUGUUUUGUUUUCUUUUGUUUUGGAGCAAGGGUUUAAUGAAGAGCUAUAGAAGCUUCACUGAACCUCGGAGACCCAGAAAAACUAAGGGAAUUUUCGGAAUUUACUCAUAGUAUCUUCUCACUCUCCUCUCCAGAUUUUCAGAACAUAUGGUGGGCAUACAGAAGUCAGUAAAAAGCAUCAAGGCGUAUACCACCUGCCUCUAAAAUCAUCCAGUUUUCCUAUAUGCCCUGUUGCAACUGCUUAUUAAAACAAGGUUGCUAAAUAAUUCAUUGUUGCUUUUGUUAGAUAAUAAUAACUUAUUUUUUAGGCAUAUUUUAACUUCAGCAAUAAAUCAGGAAAUUAGAAAAU